rnacentral:rRNA from 1 species
UACGUAGGGUGCGAGCGUUGUCCGGAAUUAUUGGGCGUAAAGAGCUCGUAGGCGGCUUGUCGCGUCGGAUGUGAAAGCCCGGGGCUUAACUCCGGGUCUGUAUUCGAUACGGGCAGGCUAGAGUUCGGUAGGGGGAGACUGGAAUUCCUGGUGUAGCGGUGAAAUGCGCAGAUAUCAGGAGGAACACCCGUAGCGAAGGCGGCACUCUGGGCCGAUACUGACACUGAGGAGCGAAAGCGUGGGGAGCGAACAGG